GCAUAUCAAUAAGCGGAGGAAAAGAAACCAACAGGGAUUGCCCCAGUAACGGCGAGUGAAGCGGCAACAGCUCAAAUUUGAAAUCUGGCCUUCGGGUCCGAGUUGUAAUUUGGAGAGGAUGCUUCUGGCGCGGCACCGUCCGAGUUCCUUGGAACAGGACGCCAUAGAGGGUGAGAGCCCCGUACGGGCGGCUGCCUAGCCUUUGUGAAGCUCCUUCGACGAGUCGAGUAGUUUGGGAAUGCUGCUCAAAAUGGGAGGUAAAUUUCUUCUAAAGCUAAAUACCGGCCAGAGACCGAUAGCGCACAAGUAGAGUGAUCGAAAGAUGAAAAGCACUUUGAAAAGAGGGUUAAAAAGUACGUGAAAUUGUUGAAAGGGAAGCGCCUGUGACCAGACUUGCGGCUCGCGGAUCAUCCAGUGUUCUUCACCGGUGCACUCCGCGGGCUGCAGGCCAGCAUCGGUUUUCCUGGGGGGACAAAGGUCGCGGGAACGUAGCUCUUUCGGGAGUGUUAUAGCCCGUGGCGUCAUGCCUCCGGGGGGACCGAGGACCGCGCUUCGGCAAGGAUGCUGGCGUAAUGGUCACCGGCGACCCGUCUUGAAACACGGACCAAGGAGUCAAGCAUUGGGGCGAGUGUCUGGGUGCCAAACCCGCACGCGAAAUGAAAGUAAACGCAGGUGAGAGCUUCGGCGCAUCACCGACCGAUCCUGAUGUCUUCGGAUGGAUUUGAGUAAGAGCCUUACCGCUUGGACCCGAAAGAUGGUGAACUAUGCCUGUAUAGGGUGAAGCCAGAGGAAACUCUGGUGGAGGCUCGCAGCGGUUCUGACGUGCAAAUCGAUCGUCAAAUAUGGGCAUGGGGGCGAAAGACUAAUCGAACCAUCUAGUAGCUGGUUACCGCCGAA
rnacentral:rRNA from 1 species